rnacentral:lncRNA from 1 species
AAUACUCUCCUCUCUCCAAUGGUUACAAAAAGAAAAAGAAAAACCAAGAAAAGAAGAAAAAACGAUUCACACACUCACGCGUCCUUUAGGGCUCUGUCCAUUCACUCACCACUCUUCUCUCUUAUCUCUCAGCAUAAAAGAGAAGAAAAGGAAAAGGCAAGGGAGGCGGAAUCACUUCACUCCCUCUCUGAUAUCUCUGACACGGUACAAAAAAAGAAGAAGAAAGAUAUUUGGAAAAAUCUCUAACUCAC